UACGGAGGGGGCUAGCGUUGUUCGGAAUUACUGGGCGUAAAGGGCGCGUAGGCGGGAUGGCAAGUCGGUCGUGAAAUCCUUCGGCUCAACCGAAGAACGUCGAUCGAUACUGCUGUUCUUGAGGGUUGCAGAGGAGACUGGAAUUCCCGGUGUAGCGGUGAAAUGUGUAGAGAUCGGGAGGAACACCGGUGGCGAAGGCGGGUCUCUGGGCAAUUCCUGACGCUGAGGCGCGAAAGCGUGGGGAGCAAACGGG
rnacentral:rRNA from 1 species